ACUGGAGGAUUAAGAAAGUAGAGUCUGUUAAGCUGGGCUCUACUGAUACUAUUCUCCUAGAGGAAAAGGAUGAAGAGAGUGGCCCUACUUACAGAAGAGGAAGGGACCGACUGUGCCAUCCAACAUUU
ensembl:scaRNA